rnacentral:rRNA from 1 species
GAUGAACGCUGGCGGCGUGCCUAAUACAUGCAAGUCGAGCGCACGGACGAGAAGUUUGCUCCCUGGAUGAUAGCGGCGGACGGGUGAGUAACAUGUGGAUAACCCAUCUAUAAGACUGGGAUCACUUCGGGACACUGGCGCUUAUAGCGGAAAAUAAUUUGAACCAUAACGUUUAAAAGAGAAAGACGGUUUUGCUGUUACUAAUUGAUGGAUCCGCGCUGUAUUAGCUAGUUGGUAAGGUAACGGCUUACCAAGGCAACGAUGCAUAGCCGACCUGAGAGGGUGAUCGGCCACACUGGAACUGAGACACGGUCCAGACUCCUACGGGAGGCAGCAGUAGGGAAUCUUCCGCAAUGGACGAAAGCCUGACGGAGCAACGCCGCGUGAGUGAUGAAGGUCUUCGGAUCGUAAAACUCUGUUAUAAGGGAAGAACAUGUGUGAAAGUGGAUGUGCAAAUCUUUGCGGUAACUUAACAGAAAGCCACGGCUAACUACCUG